rnacentral:rRNA from 1 species
AUGGAAUUCGUUAUGCUCCUGGCCGCUCUCUUUUGCCUCCUAGCCGGAGUGGUCUUUCUGCGGAGCUACACCAGGAGAUCCCAGGCCACCACCCACCACAUCGGGGACCCCGAUGUUGCUCAUCGAGCGCUCAUUGGGAACGCCGACGACUUCUUAAACCGGCCGGCAGCAAGCUUCCCCACCUCCCUGGCCACCUGGCGCCAUGGCGAACGGAACGACAACAUAGCCACUGUGACCUACGGCCCGCAGUGGCGAGUGCUCCGGUGCAACCUCACGGCUGAGAUCCUCUCACGCCUCGGUUCCUUAGCCCCGCUUCAUGAGGAGGCCGCCCAGGCACUCGUCGCAGACUUCUCGGCCCGAUGCGGCGGAGGAGGUGACGUGGCCGUCCGUGAGCCCGUCACCAAAGCCGUGUUCACGCUGGCCACGCGCCUGUGCUUCGGCGACAUUGUGGACGACGGCCAGAGACACGCCAUAGGACGCGUGAUACGGGACUCCAUCGUCGCCGCAGGUAAGCUCAGCCCCGGGUUCGAUGGCUCGAUGCUAUCCAAGCUCGCGAACUGGAGGGGGUUUCGCCGGAUCUCCGCCGUGCUCAAACGGCAGACCGAGCUGUACCUCCCUCUGAUCGCGGCACGGAGGCAGUCGCAGUCUCAGCUCUGUGGCGGCAUCGUCCAUCCUUACGUGGACUCGCUCCUGGAUCUCCGUGUCCCCGACAAUGGUGAUGCCUCCGGCCCCGGCCGUCCUCUUCGAGACGGCGAGCUGGUGGGCCUUGUGUUCGAGUUCCUGGGUGCAGCCACGGGGUCAACCGCAGCCUGCCUCGAGUGGACCCUCGCCCAUCUCAUCGACCAGCCGGAGACCCUGGACAGGCUGCGCCGGGAGAUCGACGACGAGGCCGACGCCGGCGGGAUACUCUCCAGCAAGAGCCUUCGCAGCGGCAUGCCCUACCUGAACGCGGUAGUCCUUGAAUGCCUCCGCAUGCACCCGCCGGUGCCGGUCAUCUUGCGCAGCGCCCACGGCGACGGCGCCAAAGCGAUCGGUGGAAUGAGAGCUGUGCCGCUGGACGGCUUGAGCGUGCAGUUCAAUUUAGCCGACAUUGGAAGAGAUGCGAAGCGGUGGACCCAUCCUGACAAGUUCUGGCCGGAGCGGUUCCUUGCCGGAGGCGAGGCGGAAGACAUCGGGCCGGCGCCGGGCCCCAAGGAGAUCAGGAUGAUGCCGUUCGGUGCGGGACAUCGGCACUGCCCUGGCGUGAACAUGGGAAUGUUGCACAUCAAGUGCUUCUUAGCGGCGCUCGUGCACAACUUCGACUGGGCACUGUCCGCCGAAGACUGCAGCAGCGGUGUCGACAUGACGGAGCAGGACGGCUUCAUAAAAAUAAUGAAGAAGCCGCUCUCCGCGCGUGUCACUGGACGCACUUGA